rnacentral:misc_RNA from 1 species
CUUCUCUCUUCUUCUCUUCGCAAUUUCACUUUUUAUGAAGAUUUCGCCCACUUUGGAGAUGUGUAUGAGCGAGCUCGCCAAAUUCCGAGAUCGAUUCGGAGCCUCUUCAAGACGGUUCUUGCCGAAGAUCAGAGACGAAGCAGCAACAGAUCGCCGGCAGAAAUCCAUCCAGGAGGCUACCGAACAGAGCAGAGCAAUCGAAGAUCAAAAGGAGGUGAUUCUUUCGGAGUCCACCAUUUUCUUGCUAAUUGAUCGGUUUAUUGUUUGGUGAGGCUGUUGAUGGCAAGUUUUUAGAGGUUUAUAAUGUAAAUCUGGAGAUGUUUUGUUUCUGUGAUGAAUGGAUGUUGGAUCUCAAUGGUUCUCUGCUAUGGAAGACACGACGGUGCAUAAAUUACCAUUU